rnacentral:lncRNA from 1 species
AAACUAAAUAAAAAUAAUUUAGGGAUUGUUGAAAAAUCCUUUAGGGAUUGCUAAAUGAAAAUCCGUUAGGGAUUGCUAAAAUAUCCUUUAGGGAUUGUUAAAUUAAAUAAAUAUCCUUUAGGGACUGCUGAAAUAUCCUUUAGGGAUUGGUAAAAUAUCCUUUAGGGAUUGUUAAAUUAAAGAAAUAUACUUUAGAGAUUGUUAAAUUCAAUAAAAACCCUUUAGGGAUUGCUAAAUGAAAAUCCGUUAGGGAUUGCUAAAAUAUCCUUUAGGGAUUGCUAAAUUAAAUAAAUAUACUUUNAAUUCCUUUUUUCUCCUUUAA